rnacentral:rRNA from 1 species
AUACGAACCGGACAAACGUUAUUCGGAAUCAUUGGGCUUAAAGGGUGCGUAGGCGGCGUAGUAGGCGGGGUGUGAAAUCCCUCGGCUCAACCGAGGAACUGCGCCUCAAACCACUAGGCUAGAGGGAGACAGAGGUAAGCGGAACUGAUGGUGGAGCGGUGAAAUGCGUUGAUAUCAUCAGGAACACCAGUGGCGAAAGCGGCUUACUGGGUCUCUUCUGACGCUGAGGCACGAAAGCUAGGGUAGCGAACGGGAUUAGAAACCCUAGUAGUCC